AUGAACGCUAGCGACAGGCUUAACACAUGCAAGUCGAGGGGCAGCGGGGGUAGCAAUACCCGCCGGCGACCGGCGCACGGGUGAGUAACGCGUAUGCAACUUACCUAUCAGAGGGGGAUAACCCGGCGAAAGUCGGACUAAUACCGCAUGAAGCAGGGAUCCCGCAUGGGAAUAUUUGCUAAAGAUUCAUCGCUGAUAGAUAGGCAUGCGUUCCAUUAGGCAGUUGGCGGGGUAACGGCCCACCAAACCGACGAUGGAUAGGGGUUCUGAGAGGAAGGUCCCCCACAUUGGUACUGAGACACGGACCAAACUCCUACGGGAGGCAGCAGUGAGGAAUAUUGGUCAAUGGCCGAGAGGCUGAACCAGCCAAGUCGCGUGAGGGAUGAAGGUUCUAUGGAUCGUAAACCUCUUUUAUAAGGGAAUAAAGUGCGGGACGUGUCCCGUUUUGUAUGUACCUUAUGAAUAAGGAUCGGCUAACUCCGUGCCAGCAGCCGCGGUAAUACGGAGGAUCCGAGCGUUAUCCGGAUUUAUUGGGUUUAAAGGGUGCGUAGGCGGCCUUUUAAGUCAGCGGUGAAAGUCUGUGGCUCAACCAUAGAAUUGCCGUUGAAACUGGGGGGCUUGAGUAUGUUUGAGGCAGGCGGAAUGCGUGGUGUAGCGGUGAAAUGCAUAGAUAUCACGCAGAACCCCGAUUGCGAAGGCAGCCUGCCAAGCCAUGACUGACGCUGAUGCACGAAAGCGUGGGGAUCAAACAGGAUUAGAUACCCUGGUAGUCCACGCAGUAAACGAUGAUCACUAGCUGUUUGCGAUACACUGUAAGCGGCACAGCGAAAGCGUUAAGUGAUCCACCUGGGGAGUACGCCGGCAACGGUGAAACUCAAAGGAAUUGACGGGGGCCCGCACAAGCGGAGGAACAUGUGGUUUAAUUCGAUGAUACGCGAGGAACCUUACCCGGGUUUGAACGCAUUCGGACCGAGGUGGAAACACCUUUUCUAGCAAUAGCCGUUUGCGAGGUGCUGCAUGGUUGUCGUCAGCUCGUGCCGUGAGGUGUCGGCUUAAGUGCCAUAACGAGCGCAACCCUUCUCCCCAGUUGCCAUCGGGUAAUGCCGGGCCCUCUGGGGACACUGCCAUCGUAAGAUGCGAGGAAGGUGGGGAUGACGUCAAAUCAGCACGGCCCUUACAUCCGGGGCGACACACGUGUUACAAUGGCGUGGACAAAGGGAAGCCACCUGGCGACAGGGAGCGAAUCCCCAAACCACGUCUCAGUUCGGAUCGGAGUCUGCAACCCGACUCCGUGAAGCUGGAUUCGCUAGUAAUCGCGCAUCAGCCAUGGCGCGGUGAAUACGUUCCCGGGCCUUGUACACACCGCCCGUCAAGCCAUGGGAGCCGGGGGUACCUGAAGUCCGUAACCGCGAGGAUCGGCCUAGGGUAAAACUGGUGACUGGGGCU
rnacentral:rRNA from 1 species